rnacentral:piRNA from 1 species
UAGACAGACAGCAAAGGCAACUGUGAGGGU